CUUGAUUUCUAGCAGUUACUGCUUCAACAAAUUCAUCCCAAAUAUAUCAAGCGUGCGAUAGUGUCCAAACUAUAUAUUUGCCAUCUUUUGUCUUUGUCCAUCACAGUCCUUAGAUGCAGUUUCCUUGACAAAGCCGUUCAGCUUCACUCGCUAUCGACCACAUAAUAUUGCUUGCAAUAUACUAAUGAUAUUUAGACUUCGAAACUUUG